rnacentral:rRNA from 1 species
AUUGAACGCUGGCGGCAGGCCUAACACAUGCAAGUCGAACGAGUGGCGGACGGGUGAGUAAUGUCUGGGAAACUGCCUGAUGGAGGGGGAUAACUACUGGACACGGUAGCUAAUACCGCAUACCAUCGGAUGUGCCCAGAUGGGAUUAGCUAGUAGUGAGGGUAACGGCUCACCUAGGCGACGAUCCCUAGCUGGUCUGAGAGGAUGAACAGCCACACUGGAACUGAGACACGGUCCAGACGCCUACGAGCGGCAGCAGGGGGGAAUAUUGCACAAGGGGCGCAAGCCUGAUGCAGCCAUGCCGCGUGUAUGAAGAAGGCCUUCGGGUUGUAAAGUACUUUCAGCGGGGAGGCGUUACCCGCAGAAGAAGCACCGGCUAACUCCGUGCCAGCAGCCGCGGUAAUAC